GGGGUUGUGGCUCAGUGGUAGAGCACUCGCCUAGCAUGCAUGAGGCACUGGGUUCAAUUCUCAGUACCA
rnacentral:tRNA from 1 species